GCAACGGUGGUCUAGCGGUUAGAACGCUGGCCUUGUAAUCCUGGGGUCUCGGGUUCGAUUCCCGGUGGUGUA
rnacentral:tRNA from 1 species